UCCUCGUGGUCGCGCACCCGGCUCACCUCAAGAACAAAGCGCGGUUUCCUCCCUCGCCAUCCUUCCUUAUGGUCGCGCACCCGGCUCACCUCAACAACAAAGCGCGGUUUCCUCCCUCGCCAUCCUUCCUCGUGGUCGCGCACCCGGUUGGAUUUCACAGUCAUGGAAGUUCUGCUUUAAAAUCCGUUUCUGAAGAAGUGUUAAUGGCAGCAGUGAGCCCCCCUGCCUCUGAUUGUCAUCUUUGGGGGCCAGAGAAGUGAGCAGCUAUCCUUCCCAGUCCCUGGUCCCUCCAAGCAGUGACAACAAAGAAUGGACCAGGCGAGGCAUUGUGUGUAGACACAUAAGAAAAACAGCAGACGAACACCAGGUGAGGGAGAGUGUAUUAAACACCUGGACGGUACUCCGCAAAUAUGACACAGUCACCAAAGACAAGUUUGAGAAUCUGUCUCAGACAAGGUCUUGACACUGCUGACCAGGGACAAAAUGUCCCAUUGACAGUCAUGCUCUGGAGCAGGAUGGGCAGUGAGAGACCAGAGACCACAGGAUGGGUAAGAAAUAGCCCAGCUCAGGCUACUGGGUUGAAGAACUGCCAGAGCGUGAUCGCCAACGUGCAGAUUUCUGAUCUACGUGUAAUGUAGAAGCUGACUGUUCUGUAUCUGACGUUUCAUUUAGAGUCUAUGAAGUAGCUUAGGCCAAUUACUCAUAGCCGCCUGCCCCUCCUCAGUUACCUGGACAUAUGUCUUGUGUUCUGGAAUCAAAACUAAUUCUGAAUGCAUAUCCUGAAAACAUGGGACACUUACUCAGAUUUCACUCUUGGGUGUCAUUGGCCUUUUAAUUAUUUUCUAUCAAUAGACCGACCUUAGAUUUACUUGUCAAAAAAAGUAAGGUCAUUUUAUGAGCACUUUCAUUCCAAUUUCCUAGAUGUCUUUUCUGAUUAGAAAAACCUAUAAACUAUGUAGCUUUGAAUUUAUAGAAUCAUUAUUCCUGAAGGUUUUGCUGUCCUUUGCGCUCAGAGAUGGUCCCACUGACUCAGAGAUGGUCCCACUGACCCAGCAUGGCAGAGCCUGUGAUUGCAGCUCCAGGGGCCCUCAAUUCAUUUGUUUCCCUGCCUCUCCAUCUCCCCAUGUUAUCCUGUCACCCCAAAAAGCACCUGCCUGCAACACGGUCAGGAAACACAAAUGCUGACCUCAAGGAGAAGCUGAAGCCAAGAGUAUUAAUCACAGUGGUGAAGAUAAGAAAGAUGACCCCAAGUAAGAAAGCCCAGAAAGGCACUUGCUGUUGACUCCCUCAGAAAGAACACCACGAAAGACCAUGGAUCAUGUAAAGAAGAAGAAGAAAGAAAGUAAGGAAGAAACACCAUACCUUGUUGAGAGCUGUAAAUGGUAUGAUAUUUUACUCCAUGUGGAGCUAACAAACUAGCCUGUCACAACUUCAAGGAUGCUGUCGGAAGACACAAGAUUCCUGGGUCAGAGCCAAAGGACCGUAUCAACGAUGGCAGUGCCUGGGCAUCCCACAUGUGUGUUUAUUCUCCUUGCCCAGAAAAAUGGUGUGGAACGCCCUCGAUGAAACGUGUACACAGUGGGUUGCAUGACAGGAGAAAAUCUCAGAGACUUAGGAACCCAAAUAUGUUAUUGUGAGCAGUGAGCAUUGCUGCCCUUGGCUCCCCGGGAAGA
rnacentral:lncRNA from 1 species